AGGGGCGUCGUUCAAUGGUAGGACGAAGGUUUCCAAAACCUUUGACGUGGGUUCGAUUCCCUCCGCCCCUGCCA
rnacentral:tRNA from 7 species